rnacentral:rRNA from 1 species
CCUACGAGUGGCAGCAGUGAGGAAUAUUGGUCAAUGGGCGCGAGCCUGAACCAGCCAAGUAGCGUGAAGGAUGACUGCCCUACGGGUUGUAAACUUCUUUUAUAAAGGAAUAAAGUGAGGCACGUGUGCCUUUUUGUAUGUACUUUAUGAAUAAGGAUUGGCUAACUCCGUGCCAGCAGCCGCGGUAAUACGGAGGAUCCGAGCGUUAUCCGGAUUUAUUGGGUUUAAAGGGAGCGUAGAUGGGUUGUUAAGUCAGUUGUGAAAGUUUGCGGCUAAACCGUAAAAUUUCAAUUGAUACUGGCAGUCUUGAGUACAGUUGAGGUAGGCGGAAUUCGUGGUGUAGCGGUGAAAUGCUUAGAUAUCACGAAGAACUCCGAUUGCGAAGGCAGCUUACUAAACUGCCACUGACAUUGAUGCUCGAAAGUGUGGGUAUCAAACAGGAUUAGAGACCCCAGUAGUC